UACGGAGGAUGCGAGCGUUAUCCGGAUUUAUUGGGUUUAGAGGGUGCGCAGGUUGUUUGAUAAGUCAGUGGUGAAAGUCUGUCGCUUAACGGUAGGAUUGCCAUUGAUACUGUUGGACUUGAAUAUGGAUGAGGUAGGCGGAAUGUGUAGUGUAGCGGUGAAAUGCAUAGAUAUUACACAGAACACCGAUUGCGAAGACAGCUUACUAAUCCAUCAUUGACGCUGAGGCACGAAAGCGUGGGGAUCAAA
rnacentral:rRNA from 1 species